GAUUGUGUCUCAGGCCACGUUUCAUUUAAACGUAUAAUUCCCAGUUGUUCAAUCCAGUGCUCAAUGGCAAAAGCCUUUCAUCUUGGAAAUAAUAGUUGCUUUUCUGGUACUUCUAGGCCUGGAAAUCAUCCCUCAACUUGUGAUAUUUUCACAGAAAACGGUAUCACACGGGUGAUAUCAAGAGGGGAGCUUGCAGAAGAUAUUGUAGCCGUACAAGCCGUAGAAGAUGGUAAAAUCAUAAAAGUUGAUCACUUUCU
rnacentral:misc_RNA from 1 species